GACGAACCGUGCGAACGUUGUUCGGAAUCACUGGGCUUAAAGGGCGCGUAGGCGGGUCAUCAAGUCCGGGGUGAAAGCCCCCAGCUUAACUGGGGAAGUGCCUUGGAUACUGAUGGUCUUGAGGGGGGUAGGGGCAGUGGGAACUUCCGGUGGAGCGGUGAAAUGCGUUGAUAUCGGAAGGAACGCCGGUGGCGAAAGCGGCUCACUGGCCCGGUACUGACGCUGAGGUGCGAAAGCGUGGGGAGCAAACAGG
rnacentral:rRNA from 1 species